UACGUAGGGGGCAAGCGUUAUCCGGAUUUACUGGGUGUAAAGGGAGCGUAGACGGCGACGCAAGUCUGAAGUGAAAGGCGGGGGCCCAACCCCCGGACUGCUUUGGAAACUGUAUGGCUGGAGUGCAGGAGAGGUAAGUGGAAUUCCUAGUGUAGCGGUGAAAUGCGUAGAUAUUAGGAGGAACACCAGUGGCGAAGGCGGCUUACUGGACUGUAACUGACGUUGAGGCUCAAAAGCGUGGGGAGCAAACAGG
rnacentral:rRNA from 1 species